rnacentral:rRNA from 1 species
UACGAAGGGUGCAAACGUUGCUCGGAAUUAUUGGGCGUAAAGCGCACGUAGGCGGCAUUGCAAGUCGGAUGUGAAAUCCCUCGGCUUAACCAAGGAAGUGCAUCCGAAACUGCUGUGCUUGAGUACUGAAGAGGAUCGCGGAAUUCCCGGUGUAGAGGUGAAAUUCGUAGAUAUCGGGAGGAACACCAGUGGCGAAGGCGGCGAUCUGGGUCGAUACUGACGCUCAUGCACGAAAGCGUGGGGAGCAAACAGG